rnacentral:rRNA from 1 species
GCAUGGCGCUGCUAUACAUGCAAGUCGAGCGGACAGAUGGGAGCUUGCUCCCUGAUGUUAGCGGCGGACGGGUGAGUAACACGUGGGUAACCUGCCUGUAAGACUGGGAUAACUCCGGGAAACCGGGGCUAAUACCGGAUGGUUGUUUGAACCGCAUGGUUCAAACCUUAAAAGGUGGCUUCGGCUACCACUUACAGAUGGACCCGCGGCGCAUUAGCUAGUUGGUGAGGUAACGGCUCACCAAGGCAACGAUGCGUAGCCGACCUGAGAGGGUGAUCGGCCACACUGGGACUGAGACACGGCCCAGACUCCUACGGGAGGCAGCAGUAGGGAAUCUUCCGCAAUGGACGAAAGUCUGACGGAGCAACGCCGCGUGAGUGAUGAAGGUUUUCGGAUCGUAAAGCUCUGUUGUUAGGGAAGAACAAGUACCGUUCGAAUAGGGCGGUACCUUGACGGUACCUAACCAGAAAGCCACGGCUAACUACGUGCCA